rnacentral:tRNA from 1 species
UCCCUGGUGGCUCAGACGAUAAAGCGUCUGUCUACAAUGCAGGAGACCCAGGUUUGAUCCCUGGGUUGGGAA